UAGGGAAUCUUCCGCAAUGGGCGAAAGCCUGACGGAGCAACGCCGCGUGAGUGAUGAAGGUCUUCGGAUCGUAAAACUCUGUUAUUAGGGAAGAACAAAUGUGUAAGUAACUAUGCACGUCUUGACGGUACCUAAUCAGAAAGCCACGGCUAACUACGUGCCAGCAGCCGCGGUAAUACGUAGGUGGCAAGCGUUAUCCGGAAUUAUUUGGCGUAAAGCGCGCGUAGGCGGUUUUUUAAGUCUGAUGUGAAAGCCCACGGCUCAACCGUGGAGGGUCAUUCGAAACUGGAAAACUUGAGUGCAGAAGAGGAAAGUGGAAUUCCAUGUGUAGCGGUGAAAUGCGCAGAGAUAUGGAGGAACACCAGUGGCGAAGGCGACUUUCUGGUCUGUAACUGACGCUGAUGUGCGAAAGCGUGGGGAUCAAACAGG
rnacentral:rRNA from 1 species